rnacentral:rRNA from 1 species
UGCAGUCGACGGUAGAGUAGCAAUACUCGAGAGUGGCGAACGGGUGAGUAAUAUAUCGGAACGUGCCCAGUCGUGGGGGAUAACGUAGAGAAAUUUACGCUAAUACCGCAUACGAUCUAAGGAUGAAAGCGGGGGAUUCGCAAGAACCUCGCGCGAUUGGAGCGGCUGAUAUCAGAUUAGGUUGUUGGUGAGGUAAAAGCUCACCAAGCCGACGAUCUGUAGCUGGUUUGAGAGAACGACCAGCCACACUGGGACUGAGACACGGCCCAGACUCCUACGGGAGGCAGCAGUGGGGAAUUUUGGACAAUGGGCGAAAGCCUGAUCCAGCAAUGCCGCGUGCAGGAAGAAGGCCUUCGGGUUGUAAACUGCUUUUGUACGGAACGAAAAGGCUCUUUCUAAUAAAGGGGGCCCAUGACGGUACCGUAAGAAUAAGCACCGGCUAACUACGUGCCAGCAG